rnacentral:rRNA from 1 species
CGGGAAUUUUGGGCAAUGGGCGAAAGCCUGACCCAGCAACGCCGCGUGCGGGAUGAAGUGUUUCGGUAUGUAAACCUCGAAAGAAUGGGAAGAAUAAAUGACGGUACCAUUUAUAAGCUCCGGCUAACUACGUGCCAGCAGCUGCGGUAAUACGUAGGGAGCAAGCGUUGUUCGGAUUUACUGGGCGUAAAGGGCGCGUAGGCGGCGCGGUAAGUCACUUGUGAAAUCCCUGAGCUUAACUCAGAACGGCCAAGUGAUACUGCUGUGCCAGAGUGCGGAAGAGGCAACCGGAAUUCUUGGUGUAGCGGUGAAAUGCGUAGAUAUCAAGAGGAACACCUGAGGCGAAGGCGGGUUGCUGGGCCGACACUGACGCUGAUGCGCGAAAGCCAGGGGAGCAAACG